rnacentral:rRNA from 1 species
GACGAACGCUGGCGGCGUGCCUAAUACAUGCAAGUCGAACGCAGUGGGGACGAGUGAGUAACACGUGGGUAACCUCCCAUCAGAGGGGAUAACACUUGGAAACAGGUGCUAAACCGAUACUGAUGGAUGGACCCGCGGUGCAUUAGCUGGUUGGUGAGGUAACGGCUCACCAAGGCCACGAGGCAUAGCCGUCUGUGGAGGGUGACCGGCCACACUGGGCUGGCGACCCGCCCCAGCCCCCACGGGAGGGCAGCAUUAGGGAAUCUUCGCAAAUGGCCGAAGUUUGAACCGAGAAACGCCGCGUGAGUGAAGCAGGUUUUCGGUUCGUAAACCCCUGUUGUCAGAGAAGCGGUAGCUAACCAGAAAGCCACGGCUAACUACGUGCCAGAAGCCGCGGUAAUUC